UGGCUCAGAACGAACGCUGGCGGCGUGGAUAAGACAUGCAAGUCGAACGGGGAACUUUUUAAGCUUGCUUUGAAAGUUCCUAGUGGCGAACGGGUGAGUAACACGUGAGUUACCUGCCCCAAAGCGGGGGAUAGCCUCUCGAAAGGGAGAUUAAUACCCCAUGUGAUCGCAAGAUUAAAGGCGGCUUCGGCUGUCGCUUUGGGAUGGGCUCGCGGCCUAUCAGCUAGUUGGUGAGGUAAUAGCUCACCAAGGCGACGACGGGUAGCUGGUCUGAGAGGACGAUCAGCAACACUGGAACUGAGACACGGUCCAGACACCUACGGGUGGCAGCAGUCGAGAAUCAUUCGCAAUGGGCGAAAGCCUGACGGUGCGACGCCGCGUGGAGGAUGAAGGCCCUAGGGUCGUAAACUCCUGUCAUCAGGGAGUAAAUGCUUAUGUAGUAACUGACAUAAGUCUUGAUAGUACCUGAAGAGGAAGGGACGGCAAACUUCGUGCCAGCAGCCGCGGUAAUACGAAGGUCCCAAGCGUUGUUCGGAUUUACUGGGCGUAAAGAGUCUGUAGGCGGUGUGGUAAGUCAGAUGUGAAAUCCCGGAGCUCAACUCCGGAACUGCAUCCGAUACUGCCACACUAGAGUAUUGGAGGGGAGUUUGGAAUUCUCGGUGUAGCAGUGAAAUGCGUAGAUAUCGAGAGGAACACUAGUGGCGAAGGCGAAACUCUGGACAAUAACUGACGCUGAGAGACGAAGGCCAGGGUAGCGAAAAGGAUUAGAUACCCUUGUAGUCCUGGCAGUAAACGGUGCACGCUUGGUGUGGGAAGGUUCGACCCUUUCCGUGCCGGAGCUAACGCGUUAAGCGUGCCGCCUGGGGAGUACGGUCGCAAG
rnacentral:rRNA from 1 species